GAAUAGUGAGCAUAAUACAAUUAGUACCUCAUGGAUAAAACAAAUUUCUUAAUUUCUUGUACAUGAAUAUUUACAGUGAGCAGGACACGAAUAGUACCUCUUGGAUAACCCAAGUCAAGCAUAUUAAAGUAAUUUAAUAUUAAAAUGGUAAGUGUAAAAAACAUCAAAGUCAUCUAGAAAACAAUCCAACAACGAUAAACUUAUUUAACUGUGAUUACCUCUCAAUCUCAACGGUGAUUCAGGUUGUGCCACUGAAGACCAUUUUCACCCUGGAACCUGCAUAAAACAUCUUGCAGCAUCACACACCAUAUGUAAAUUCUCCUUGAAUCAAAAUAAUUCACAUCAUAUAGUAAGCCUCUACACAGCACAUAAGCCGAACCUGCAUAAUCAACUUUGGUUAAUUGUCUAUAUCGACAUUUGCAUUUAACCUCUCUACACCACACAAAUCUAACUGAAAUGCUCAUGAUAAAAACUUUUCACAUUACCCUAAGAUAACACCAAAUUAGGCUGCAUUACACUUAGAACAACCUUACACUUUCUUGAUCCCCAAUUUAAUUUUUCAAUGAUAUCAUACUAUAACCAAAAACAGUCAUUAGGAAAUUCUAUUUGAAGCACCAGAUUGUCCUGGUCUUGCCAAUAAGGGUAAUAAUACCAACACUGUCAAAUCCUUCAUAAUUAUCAUGCAAAUUAGCAUUCUUUAUCAUUCAUAAUUCAAACAAUUUAUAAUAUGUCUGCAAACCAAUACCAACACUGUUACAAAUAUGAACUCAAUCAUCAAUUACAUCCACAAUACCAUUCCAUGCCUAAUAAACAUAUAUGACCAAUCACCAAAAUCAAAAGCUCAACUCUAGUGAUUUCACAAAUAGGGGCUUGGUCAUUUCUUACAUUUACGGUUGUAAAAGGCUUAAAAUAAAGGAACAUCACCACAAUAUCAGCAUGUUACCUCAUUUGUCUUGGUUAUCAUUGCUGCUUCAAUAUUCAAUCUUCUUUGCCUCCUCCUUAAAUUCAUACUUCAAUUUAUAGAUCUCUGCAGCUUCAUUAAUCAAGCAAUUCCUUUUGCUGCAACAUUCUUCAUCCUUUUUGUAACACUUUUUUUAUCCUAUUAGCUAUAUACAAAAUUGAAUCACAUUAGGUGAGAGAUGGAAAAGGGAAAUAAAGAAAUAAAUCAACUAAAUAAGCUAAUAAGGUAAAAUAUAUCAAUUUGGUAGAAACAAAUCAACUGAAUAAGAAAGUUGGAGUUGAAAGAAGAACACGAACCUUCGAUUGGAAGCUGAAAAACCAAAUUAGGGUUCAUCUAGGUCACGUUCUGUUUCGAUUGUAAGUUUAAUGCCAGAUUCGAGAUUUGGGAUUAGGGUUCGACGAUUAAAAGACUCGAAGCAUGCAGAAAGAGGAGGAAACAUGUUCUUAGGGGAAACUGAGAAUCGUGACUCACGAAGAAG
rnacentral:lncRNA from 1 species